rnacentral:rRNA from 1 species
UACGUAGGGUGCAAGCGUUGUCCGGAAUUAUUGGGCGUAAAGAGCUCGUAGGCGGUUUGUCGCGUCUGCUGUGAAAACCCGAGGCUCAACCUCGGGCCUGCAGUGGGUACGGGCAGACUAGAGUGCGGUAGGGGAGAAUGGAAUUCCUGGUGUAGCGGUGAAAUGCGCAGAUAUCAGGAAGGAAACACCCAGUCGGCUGAAGGCGGACGUCCGUCUAGUAACGGUACUGACGCUGAGACGCGAAAGCGUGGGGAGCGAACAGG